CGCGGCCAAGUCUGUCUCAAGUCUGCCUUCCACGGACCACGGAGCUGUGUGCACAUGAGCGGAGGAUCACAUCUGUAGCACUGGACGAUCAUGCUAUUCUUCAAGGCGAUUCAUGCUGAGUGUGGAUCGAAACAUAGUACAGGACAACAUCCCCUCCUUGGUUUCUGCCCUGUCCAUGAUGUUUGGGAGCUAUUAUUGCUUCAACAUCGCCUACCCGUCAGAGCUGGCAUCCACCCUGGAGUUUGUCCAGAGGUGUUUUUUCUCCAUCAACCCAGAGAAGGGCACCAAAGUGGAGAAGACACGUGCAUCCCGUCUUCAGGUGAACCCGAGAGUCCUCACCUUGA